rnacentral:tRNA from 1 species
UGGCUGUUGGCGAAACGGAAACGCAACGGAAUUUGACUCCGUGAAUUCAGGGUUCGAAUCCCUGGCGGCCAG